rnacentral:rRNA from 1 species
AACGAACGCUGGCGGCAGGCCUAACACAUGCAAGUCGAACGCCGUAGCAAUACGGAGUGGCAGACGGGUGAGUAACGCGUGGGAACAUACCCCUCGGUUCGGAAUAACUCAGGGAAACUUGAGCUAAUACCGGAUACGUCCGAGGUUUUGAUCGACCUUGGAGAAAGAUUUAUCGCCGAAGGAUUGGCCCGCGUCUGAUUAGCUUGUUGGUGAGGUAAUGGCUCACCAAGGCGACGAUCAGUAGCUGGUCUGAGAGGAUGAUCAGCCACAUUGGGACUGAGACACGGCCCAAACUCCUACGGGAGGCAGCAGGUGGGGAAUAGUUGGAACAAUGGGACGAAAGCCUGAUCCAGCCAUGCCGCGUGAGUGAUGAA